UCCAGACUCCUACGGGAGGCAGCAGUGGGGAAUCUUCCGCAAUGGGCGAAAGCCUGACGGAGCAACGCCGCGUGAUCGAAUGAAGGCCUUCGGGUUGUAAAGAUCUGUUGACAGGGACGAAUAAGCAAUGCGAAUAGUUUUGUGUAUGACGGUACCUGUUUAGAAAGCUCCGGCUAAAUACGUGCCAGCAGCCGCGGUAAUACGUAUGGAGCAAGCGUUAUCCGGAUUUACUGGGCGUAAAGGGAGCGUAGGCGGCCUGCCAAGUCUGAUGUGAAAUACCGGGGCUCAACCCCGGGGCUGCAUUGGAAACUGGCAGGCUGGAGUGCCGGAGAGGCAGGCGGAAUUCCUAGUGUAGCGGUGAAAUGCGUAGAUAUUAGGAGGAACACCAGUGGCGAAGGCGGCCUGCUGGACGGUGACUGACGCUGAGGCUCGAAAGCGUGGGGAGCAAACAGGAUUAGAUACCCUAGUA
rnacentral:rRNA from 1 species